AACGAACGCUGGCGGCAGGCCUAACACAUGCAAGUCGUACGAGAAAGGGUCCUUCGGGACCUGAGUAAAGUGGCGCACGGGUGAGUAACGCGUGGAUAAUCUGCCCUUCAGUUGGGAAUAACUCAUCGAAAGGUGGGCUAAUACCGGAUACGUUUAUCUUGAUGCGAAUGAUGAUAAAGAAAGGUGGCCUCUUCAUGAAAGCUACUGUGCAGGGAUGAGCUUGCGUACCAUUAGCUAGUUGGUAGGGUAAUGGCCUACCAAGGCGACGAUGGUUAGCGGGUCUGAGAGGAUGAUCCGCCACACUGGAACUGGAACACGGACCAGACUCCUACGGGUGGCUG
rnacentral:rRNA from 1 species